GCCCGGCUGGCUCAAUUGGUAGAGCACCAGACUUCUAUUGAACUUGAAAACAGAACAAUCAGAUUCAUCUGGAGGCUGUGGGUUCGAGUCCCACGUUGGGUG